AGUAAAUUGAAGUACAAAUGCAGUAAAACUGCAGUACAUUGAAGUACAACUUUAGGUUUGCAGUAUAAUGAAGUAUAAACAGUAUAUAUAUUACUUUAAUGCCUCCAACCCCCCCUAAAUAUGUUAAAUAUGGGGGGCAUAGGUCUGUGGGCGGGUCAUAGUCCCCAAUUGGUGUGUCCCCCUUGUUACGGAGACCCCCUCAAUGUUUAAGAAAUAUUGUUUUUUACAUUUUAUAUACUGCGGGUUGAUGAUUUAAGAAUGGGGACACCCCGGAGUGAUGACCCUAUUCUUUCAGUAGCCCUGAGCAGGGUAAUUUCACUUAAAUCACCCUCGACACCCCCGUGAGGGUGAUUUAGGGAAGGGAAUACCCCCAGAUUCCAUGGGGACUGGGGGACAUCCCCAUUACUGCUCAAUCUGCUCAAUCUGCUCAAUUAUAAGACAACCCUGAUUAUAAGACGACCCCCCAAAAUCUGAAUAUUAAUUUAUGAAAAAAAGAAAAAGCCUGAAUAUAAGACGAUCCUAUAGGAAAAAGUUCUAUCAGUAAGUGUUAAUUCAUGUAAACUAUGUGAACUAUUUUUUUUAAUAAAAGCUAUGAUUGAGAAAAA